ACCCACCCCAAAAUUGAUUUAAGAAUUAAAGAAAUGGGGGACCAGUGUGCGAUAGCUGCAGAUAGAUGCCUCCUUGGUAGUGUAGCAACCUAUUUCUUGUAUGGGUUGCCCUAAGAGACCUUGGAGACAGCC
ensembl:snoRNA SNORA70 Small nucleolar RNA SNORA70